AAGCUCCAAGAAGAGAAGAGAAAGAUAUAGAAGUAUGAAGAGGGGGUUAUGGGGCGGCGGCGUCUUUAUGUGUUUUUAUUAUUUUUUGGUUUCUUCGAGAUGGGCACUCGGGAUUACGAGAUGGAAUCCUGGAACAAAAGCCACUUUUCAGGGACGACCUUUAAGAUGUCCUGAGUCUAUAACCACUACGUCACCAAACAUAUUUAUAUUCAUUUACAGUGGGAGAUUCUCUGGGGGAGGGGAGGGGAGGGUGGGGGGGUCACUUGAAUCGACGUCUAUAGUUCCCUCUCCCUGAGCCAACCAGGACGCGGUCACGCCGGAGCACGAACGGAGGCCGGCGUCGCUCCUUCCUUCGACCGGCAGCACGUGCGCCACGGUCUCCGGCCCGCGCGAGGGUCUCCGGCCCGCGCGAGGGUCUCCGCGAGGGGCGGAGACGAGCUGCUGUCACUACGACUGCUCUGUUAGGGUGUGUAGGUUGGGGGGGUGGGGGUUUGCAUUUUGUCACAACAACCUUUUUCAGAACAUUACCCUCCCCCCCCCCCCCACACACACACCUCACCGGUAAAAAGAAAAAGAAAAAUAGAAUAAUGCAUGUUUUCCUAAAAUGUGCACUUAAUUUUUAGAUUAUUACAAUUUCUGUAUAAUAGAGAUUGAAUGUACUUUAUUCUUUACGAGAGCACCAGGUUUUCAUAGUGAUAUAUAUUUUUACGAGUUGCAAAAUUGUUCCUUCAGCCCUCCCACAUUUAGACAAAAAAAAUCAAUGAAGAUUGACUUUUCAUUCCUUUAAAAAAAGAAAAAAUGAUAAAUGGAGGACGAAGAAAAGAAGAAAAAACAACAACAAAAAGCAAAUUUAAAAUACGGUUUUCCCAAACUUACUUGUAAAGACUGGGAUAUUUUUCUCGCCGCCCUCGUAUUUAGAGUCCCGGAGCAUGUGGACUUGAAAAACAACAACAAAACAACAACAACCUUGGAGGGGGUUUCCCCUCUUUUCUCGUGACACCCCUCAAAACAAUCGCUAACAAACAAACACAGUUCCUCUACCAAGGCAUUGCACAUGGCUCAAUCGACAUACAUCAUUUAGUUUCAAGAACAAUACUUCCCAUCAAAACAAGAAAGAAAACAUCAAACCCUAAUCUUUUUUUAUCGUUAACCUCAUCGCCGAGCGCGACGUCUUUCCGAGUGGGUUUAGAGACUGCUGCUUGAGCUCUAGUUGGCCGGCUGCUUUUGAGAUGCAUCCUAUGACUGCGCCAUGUACGCCAUGCUUCAAAAAAUAACUAGACUGCCACGGAGCUUAUCUUGCAAAUGAAAAAACAAAAAAAAUGUAUAUAUCUAUAAAUAUAUAUGUGUAUUAUAUAUAAAGAUGCUUGCGAUUAUCUAGUGAGCUGUCGCCUUUUCCUUAUUUCCUCUCUUUUCCUCCCUUCUCUUGACAUAAAUGUGUUUUUUUUCACCAUUCGCUAUAGCUUAUCUGUGAGAAAAAAAAGAACCUGAAUUCAUGUUUGACAAAUUGCAUAAUGGGAAUACAGAGGCACUUCCAUAGAUUAGAAAAAGCAAUCGCUUCGGCCGCCGCUGACGCCUUCACUCGGCGGAACUGGUUCUCUCUCUACGAAGCCGCCGGUCGCCCGACUCGGUCGGUCAACUAUGUCGUGUUUCCCUGCAGUGAAGAACGUGGCCAGGCAGUCCAGUUAUUUUGAGAGGUCGGAUGGGCGGGUUUCAACUUUUGACGGGGGAGAAUCGGAGGGAACGCGUGCGGGCUGGUGGUGUAAAACAACCAUAAAGGUUUCCUCAGAUUGUCUGUUUUCUUUUCUUUUUAAGACUUCCCUUUGAAUUGAAUUCAGCGGGGGUGGUAAGGGGGGGGGUGGGGGGGGCGUAAUAGUGGUCGGGUGAGUUACGAUGCGGCGAUCGGGGCUCUGCCAGUGGGAUACAUCCCAGUGACACAUCCACUCGAAAAACACUCGAGUGGUGCGCAAUCGGUCAGACAGUCGGCUGGUACGAUUGUAUUAGUGCAGCUUUUGAUCAUCAAUGGCUCAUCGAUUCACAAAUAGUAAAGGGGGGUGGGGGGGGGGGGGGGGCGCUGGUGUGUGAGUGAGUGCGUGUGUUGGGGGCAUUACCGUGGCAACCAAUAUCCUGAUCCUAUGCGCCGAAACAAAAACGAGCACAAACUGGGGCACAUGGGUGAUCGUCGGCCUCCUGCUGGCCUUACAGGCCCCUUCGCUCCGCUAACAGCCAGAUAUGUCACAUAUUCAUUUUGCUCCACAGUGUGGCUCCCUCUGCUCUUGGAGCAGCCGGCCCGUCUGGGAGUGUAAACAACAGGGUAAACUCUAGGGAGACUCUGGGUCCCGUCUUCCAGCAACCUUCCCCUCCCUUGCAUCGGCCUUUUUUUUUCUUUUUUCACCCAUAUACCACCACCACCACCAGCGGGGUUGCCCAGAGCGAAAUAGUGGGGCUGGGGCUGGUGUUCCUUUAGCUUUCUGUUGACCUGUGGGGUUCAGCAGGUACGCUGCCCAGGAAAUGGCCUUCCUGUGAUUGUCAGAAUCCUGCGUUGUGGGCUCCUCCGGGUACAGUAGGUGGCAAAUUUCUUAACGUGGCUCUGAGAAGGAAAGAACCAGUUUGACACUGAGGGAAAACCCACUUCUCUCUUUCCUUUGCUUUCUUUUGCCGAGAGUUCGAUGAGAAGAUCAAAACCACUCGCAAGUUUGUCCAUUAAAGAUGAAGGUAUGGGACGAAGCCGCUUAGCUUAGCACAAUAACUGGAAUGGGUAAGAGUUCGAUCGACAGAUGGUUCAUCCAAUCACCUCCUCAAUCAGCGUCCAAAGACGUCUCCUCGGAUGGUUCUGAGGCACAAACCCAGGUUGGUCAGGUUGGUACUGACGCAAAGGGCUCCAGCAGAAGCUUCGAACCUUUGUGUCCUGCUAAGCUAAGCUGCUGCUCGCGGCAACUUCAUAUGUCGUGCACAUAAUUGAGCGGUAUCGAUCAUCUCGUCCAACUGUCGGCAGAAAAGAAGCAAAGCAAAGAGCACAUUCCCCAAUGUCUCUCUACGUUUUGGCAUGUACCACUUGGUCCAGGUCAGCUGACCACCCUGUCUACACCGCUUCAAAAUCCCAUUGUGUUUCUCUAUAAGGUGCUGUCAUUCAAAAACAAACAAUUAUAAAAUAGUACAAAUCCAAAAAAGGAAUAAAUUCAAAUAAGAGAACACACAAGAGACAAAAUCGAUCAUCUACAUCACAAGAGGGCAAAGGGGGGGAACCAAUAGCUGCUGCCUAGAGCCGCCAGUCAACGGCCUCUAGCGAUGUGCUCACGUUGGGACGUUUCUAAUCAAACAGGUAGAGUGAGCUCACUGGGCUUACUGGGUGUGAGUGGGAGGAAAUGACUCGACACCAGUACAAUCCAAAAAUGUGUGUGUCUUUGUGUGUGUUGUCAUUUAUAAAAUAUUGGCUGUGGUCGUGGCACAGAUUGUGCAAGUGUGUGCGUCGCAUGCGUAGGGGGGUGGGGGGGGGGGGGUUGUGAGAAUGAGCUCAAAUGAUUGGAAGUGAGCGGCGUGGUGGGGGCGAGGGGGGACACGCGGGGGCUCCCUGCCACCUUCUUGGAUUUUUUCCUCUUUAAAACUCUUUAAAUAGACACGAGCGGUUCACCUACCAUGCCUUGCAGGUAAGUAGUGCACAUCGUUGAGAUUAGUGUUAAUUGAUUCAAGCUCCCAGUGCAACCCUCAACCCAGAUGCGUCUUGUCAUGGUCGCUCUCCAGUUAGUCGCACGCUAAAAAAGGGACUUUGUGGUCAAUUUAAUUUUGUUUUGGGUGAAGGCGGACUGCAGCUUUCAUUGGAAACCAAAUGGCGCGUUUGCUUGGAUCGAGGCUGUGGGCCGAGCUCGAAUGUUGUGUGAGAACAAAAUUUGUUGUGUUUGUUUUUCGAUUCCCCCCCCACUCGUCUACACAACGUGUGCUGGGAGAAGCUGACCGUUCUCCUGUUCCCCGGCUCCUCCCGCGUCGCUGAUGGUUCGGUGAAAGAAUUGUAGUUGUGGGUCUGUGCACAGAUCUUGUCAGAGGAACCAAGACUGUAGAAGAAAAAAAGGGGGGGGGGGGG
ensembl:lncRNA